rnacentral:rRNA from 1 species
GACGAACGCUGGCGGCGUGCUUAACACAUGCAAGUCGAACGGAAAGGCCCUGCUUUUGUGGGGUGCUCGAGUGGCGAACGGGUGAGUAACACGUGAGUAACCUGCCCUUGACUUUGGGAUAACUUCAGGAAACUGGGGCUAAUACCGGAUAGGAGCUCCUGCUGCAUGGUGGGGGUUGGAAAGUUUCGGCGGUUGGGGAUGGACUCGCGGCUUAUCAGCUUGUUGGUGGGGUAGUGGCUUACCAAGGCUUUGACGGGUAGCCGGCCUGGGAGGGUGACCGGCCACAUUGGGCCUGGGAUACGGCCCAGACUCCUACGGGAGGCAGCGGUGGGGAAUAUUGCACAAUGGGCGGAAGCCUGAUGCAGCAACGCCGCGUGCGGGAUGCCGGCCUUCGGGUUGUAAACCGCUUUCGCCUGUGACGAAGCGUGAGUGACGGUAAUGGGUAAAGAAGCACCGGCUAACUACGUG